GAUGAACGCUGGCGGCGUGCUUAACACAUGCAAGUCGAACGGUGAAGCAGGAGCUUGCUCUUGUGGAUCAGUGGCGAACGGGUGAGUAACACGUGAGCAACCUGCCCCUGACUCUGGGAUAAGCGCUGGAAACGGCGUCUAAUACUGGAUAUGUGAUGUGACCGCAUGGUCUGCAUCUGGAAAGAAUUUCGGUUGGGGAUGGGCUCGCGGCCUAUCAGCUUGUUGGUGAGGUAAUGGCUCACCAAGGCGUCGACGGGUAGCCGGCCUGAGAGGGUGACCGGCCACACUGGGACUGAGACACGGGCCAGACUCCUACGGGAGGCAGCAGUGGGGAAUAUUGCACAAUGGGCGGAAGCCUGAUGCAGCAACGCCGCGUGAGGGAUGACGGCCUUCGGGUUGCAAACCUCUUUUAGCAGGGAAGAAGCGAAAGUGACGGUACCUGCAGAAAAAGCACCGGCUAACUACGUGCCAGCCGCCGUCGUAA
rnacentral:rRNA from 1 species